rnacentral:rRNA from 1 species
UACAGAGGGUGCAAGCGUUAAUCGGAGUUACUGGGCGUAAAGGGCGCGUAGGCGGUUAUUUAAGUCGCUUGUGAAAACCCUGGGCUUAACCUAGGAAUUGCAAUCGAUACUGGAUAUUCUUGAGUGUGGUAGAGGAAAGUGGAAUUCUCGGUGUAGUGGUUAAAUACGUAGAUAUCGAGAAGAACACCGGUGGCGAAGGCGGCUUUCUGGACCUAUACUGACGCUGAGGCGCGAAAGCGUGGGGG